CUACGGAGGGUGCAAGCGUUACUCGGAAUCACUGGGCGUAAAGCGCGCGCAGGCGGUCUUUUAAGUUGGAUGUGAAAGCCUACGGCUCAACCGUAGAACUGCAUCCAAAACUAUUUAGCUAGAGUGUGGGAGAGGAAGGUGGAAUUAGUUGUGUAGGGGUAAAAUCCGUAGAGAUAACUAGGAAUACCAAAAGCGAAGGCAAUCUUCUGGAACACUACUGACGCUGAGGCGCGAAAGCGUGGGGAGCAAACAGGAUUAGAAACCCCAGUAGUCC
rnacentral:rRNA from 1 species